rnacentral:lncRNA from 1 species
CUGAAAGGAACAUUUUUAAACCAUCAAUUUUAAAAAUUAUUUGAUUUACCACGUUGAGAAAAAACUGAAUUAUAUCUCUAUCAUGAUUAUAAAAGAUAAUAUGCAAAAUCAUUGUCAUGUGAAGAGACUUUUAAAGACUAUACAGCUCCUGCCUCAAACAAAAAGCAGGAAAAAAGUCAUAGGAAUAACCCAGACAAUUACUUAAAAAGUCAUUUUACAUUUUUAGAUUUUGCAGCACAUUUUACCAUUUUUUUGUUUUGUAAUUUGUUGUGGUUUCCUUUCUCAAUCUAUGAAAAUACUCUUCUAUGAAAAUACUCUUUUUUCAUUCCUAUUUUGUAUUUAUAGGUUUGUAUGCCUUUUCUUAAAGAGGACCCUAAAGUACACGAGCAGUGAGCCAUAUAAAACCUGAGCUAUCUUGCCAAUAGUCAAUUCCCCUUCCUUUCUCCUAAGAGAAUACAAAUGUAUUCAGGGACCUACUUUCUUCUGUCUGACAUUGGGUUUCAAGGGAGGUGGUUCCAGCUGUACUCCCAUAGGAUCCCAUUCCUCUGCCAGCAAUUGCUUUAGGCAUACACAUGUGGUAUAACUCUGGUGAUGGAUAGGAAGAAAAGUCUGCUGGGCGAGUUGGUGAAAGGUUUGCUUCUUUGAUUAAAGCUUUUUUUUCUUUCUUUAAUGCCUCCUAGGGUGGAGUGCCCUGUCUUGUCAUCUGGACUUUGUUGUGUUUGGAUGUGAUUUCUGGAAUCGCAGCAGCCAUCCUGUGACAGGGAGGAGAGCCAGGCUCAGAACAAGCCAACCAGCAGAGAAUGAUGAAGGAAAAAAAGCCAGCCCCAGGCCCCACAUUCAGACUUCUGGGUGAAGCACUCCACGGGGACAUUGCCCUUGGCCUUGGCUUUUCUCAACAGUCCUUGGAGAGGAUCUGCUUCAUGCACAGCCCUGAACAAAGGCAUCUGGAAACCAGAGAACACAGGAUGGGAAAUGAAGCUUGGUAAUGUGGAUAAACCCAGGCCCGGGGAUUUCUGAAGCAGGUCACCCCCACUUUGUGCAUAUGAA